rnacentral:rRNA from 1 species
AGAGUUUGAUCAUGGCUCAGAACGUACGCUGGCGGCACGCCUAACACAUGCAAGUCGAACGAAGUAGCAAUACUUAGUGGCAGACGGGUGAGUAACAUGUGGGUAUCUGCCCUUUGGCCUGGAAUAACACGAGGAAACUUGUGCUAAUACCGGAUAAGUCUUUACGGAGAAAGCUUUAUGCACCAUUGGAUGAGCCCGCACUUGAUUAGUUUGUUGGUGGGGUAAUGGCCUACCAAGACUGUGAUCAAUAGCUGAUUUGAGAGGAUGAUCAGCCACAUUGGGACUGAGACACGGCCCAAACUCCUACGGGAGGCAGCAGUGGGGAAUCUUGCACAAUGGAGGAAACUCUGAUGCAGCGAUGCCGCGUGAGUGAAGAAGGCCUUUGGGUUGUAAAGCUCUUUCGUCGGGGAAGAAAAUGACUGUACCCGAAUAAGAAGGUCCGGCUAACUUCGUGCCAGCAGCCGCGGUAAUACGAAGGGACCUAGCGUAGUUCGGAAUUACUGGGCUUAAAGAGUUCGUAGGUGGUUGAAAAAGUUGGUGGUGAAAUCCCAGAGCUUAACUCUGGAACUGCCAUCAAAACUUUUCAGCUAGAGUAUGAUAGAGGAAAGCAGAAUUUCUAGUGUAGAGGUGAAAUUCGUAGAUAUUAGAAAGAAUACCGAUUGCGAAGGCAGCUUUCUGGAUCAUUACUGACACUGAGGAACGAAAGCAUGGGUAGCGAAGAGGAUUAGAUACCCUCGUAGUCCAUGCCGUAAACGAUGUGUGUUAGACGUUGGAAAUUUAUUUUCAGUGUCGCAGCGAAAGCGAUAAACACACCGCCUGGGGAGUACGACCGCAAGGUUAAAACUCAAAUGAAUUGACGGGGACCCGCACAAGUAGUGGAGCAUGUGGUUUAAUUCGAAGAUACGCGCAGAACCUUACCAACACUUGACAUGUUCGUCGCGACUUUAAGAGAUUAAAGUUUUCGGUUCGGCCGGACGAAACACAGGUGCUGCAUGGCUGCCGUCAGCUCGUGUCGUGAGAUGUUGGGUUAAGUCCCGCAACGAGCGCAACCCUCACUUUUAGUUGCCAUCAUUUAGUUGGGCACUCUGAAAGAACUGCCAGUGAUAAGCUGGAGGAAGGUGGGGAUGACGUCAAGUCCUCAUGGCCCUUACGUGUUGGGCUACACACGUGCUACAAUGGUAUCUACAACAGGAAGCAAAACCGCGAGGUUAAGCAAAUCCUUAAAAGAUACCUCAGUUCGGAUUGCACUCUGCAACUCGAGUGCAUGAAGCUGGAAUUACUAGUAAUCGUGGAUCAGCGUGCCACGGUGAAUGCGUUCCCGGGUCUUGUAGA